rnacentral:ncRNA from 1 species
UUUUGGCAAACCUAUCGAAAGGUAGGGACGCAAAGCCAAGGGUCUAAACUUUCUCCGAAAGAACGAUAGCCGGUUGC